GGGGAGUAAGGGGAAGGUCCCCCCACGGACUGCAAACCCGCUGGCCUGCCUGUGACCCAGGUGGGAGUCCGGUUCGAUUCCGACUUCUCCCCUCCA
rnacentral:tRNA from 1 species